rnacentral:rRNA from 1 species
AUUGAUUCAUUGUGUUGCGUUAACGUGUGUUUGGAGAGUUAACGGGCGAACUUUGAGCCUAUUGUGUGCUUGUUUGGAGUUCAUCCUUUUACUCUGAGCGUUGUCCGUUGUGGUUAAAAUAACCUUGGCUAGCUUACUGUCUUGCAGNNNNNNNNNNNNNNNNNNNNGCAUUUAUCAGAUCCAAAAACCCAUCCGGGGGCCUCGUGCCCCCGGUCCGCUUUGGUGACUCUAGAUAACCUCGGGCCGAUCGCGCGCCCUCGGCGGCGGCGACGUGUCUUUCGAAUGUCUGCCCUAUCAACUUUCGAUGGUACUUUCGGCGCCUACCAUGGUGACCACGGGUAACGGGGAAUCAGGGUUCGAUUCCGGAGAGGGAGCCUGAGAAACGGCUACCACAUCCAAGGAAGGCAGCAGGCGCGCAAAUUACCCAUUACCGACACGGUGAGGUAGUGACGAAAAAUAACAAUACAGGUCUCUUUCGAGGCCCUGUAAUUGGAAUGAGUGUAUCCUAAACCCAUGAGCGAGGACCCAUUGGAGGGCAAGUCUGGUGCCAGCAGCCGCGGUAAUUCCAGCUCCAAUUGCGUAUAUUAAAGUUGCUGCAGUUAAAAAGUUUGUAGUUGGAUGUCGGGAGUGGGCUGGCGGUCCGCCGCGAGGCGUGCCACCGUCUGUCCCGUACCCCUGCCUCCCGGCGCUCCCCGGAUGCCCCUAGCUGGGUGUCCGACGGGGCUCGGAGCGUUUACUUUGAAAAAAUUAGAGUGUUCAAAGCAAGCCACAGCACGCCUGAAUACUGCAGCUAGGAAUAAUGGAAUAGGACUCCGGUUCUAUUUUGUGGGUUUUCGGAACCAGGGCCAUGAUUAAGAGGGAUGGCCGGGGGCAUUCGUAUUGCGCCGCUAGAGGUGAAAUUCUAGGACCGGCGCAAGACGAACGAAAGCGAAAGCAUUUGGCAAGAAUGUUUUCAUUAAUCAAGCACGAAAGUCGGAGCUUCGAAGACGAUCAAAAGUGAGCCCGGGAAGAGAUUGCAAAGCUGAAACUUAAAGGAAUUGAUGGUGGAGGUCUGCUUAGAGAGAGGGCAGGCUCUUGACUUUCGCAACCCACUCAGGCUAUGGGCUGGGUGGGAACCACUCUGCGUUGGUGGAUUGCCGACCCACUGUAAAACAAGGCCCAGUUGUGCAUGCGCGGACGCAUCUGGUACUAGCCCCUCUUCGGAAGUGGCCGACCCGGGGAGUAUCAGGCUGCUAAUCUAUGAAAUGCAAACUACUCGAGAUACCAAGGUGGAUGGCACGACGACCACUGAAAAAAGGUGCCCAGCUGCGGUGUCGGGGCCCGCAUCAUAGGAAGAACAGGUCCAUCAUAGGAAGAGGGAGAAAACGGCGGGCGGGGGGUCCAGCAAACGCGGGGUUUCAGCAAACGUGGAAAGGAAGCAGGAGAGAUAAAUGUGAAGGUUUCCAGCCUGAACUGCAGGGCGAUAUCCA